rnacentral:rRNA from 1 species
UACCAGCUCUCCGAGUUGUGGGGAUGUUUAUUGGGCCUAAAGCAUCCGUAGCCGGCUGGGCAAGUCCUCUGUUAAAUCCAGCGAUUAAUCGUUGGCCUGCGGGGGAUACUGUCUGGCUAGGGGGCGGGAGAGGCCGUCGGUAUUCUCGGGGUAGGGGUGAAAUCCUAUAAUCCCGGGAGGACCACCAGUGGCGAAGGCUGUCGGCUAGAACGCGCCCGACGGUGAGGGAUGAAAGCUGGGGGAGCGAACCGGAUUAGAUACCCGGGUAGUCCCAGCUGUAAACGAUGCAGGCUAGGUGUUAGGGCGGCUACGUGCCGCUCUAGUGCCGCAGGGAAGCUGUUAAGCCUGCCGCCUGGGGAGUACGGCCGCAAGGCUGAAACUUAAAGGAAUUGGCGGGGGAGCACCACAAGGGGUGAAGCUUGCGGUUUAAUUGGAGUCAACGCCGGAAAUCUCACCGGGGGCGACAGCAGGAUGAAAGCCAGAUUAAAGGUCUUGCCAGACGAGCUGAGAGGAGGUGCAUGGCCGUCGCCAGUUCGUGCCGUGAGGUGUCCUGUUAAGUCAGGCAACGAUCGAGACCCGCAUCCCCCGUUGCUACCAGCCUUGAGCUGGGCACACUGGGGAGACCGCCGCCGAUAAGGCGGAGGAAGGAGCGGGCCACGGCAGGUCAGUAUGCCCCGAAUCUCCCGGGCCACACGCGAGCUGCAAUGGCAGGUACAAUGGGUUCCGACCUCGAAAGGGGAAGGAAAUCUCUAAAGCCUGCCGUAGUUGGGAUCGAGGGUUGAAACCCACCCUCGUGAACAUGGAAUCCCUAGUAAUCGCGUGUCACUAGCGCGCGGUGAAUACGUCCCUGCUCCU